rnacentral:misc_RNA from 1 species
CAUCGCGAUCUUGUCUCGGUAGCGCCCCGUUAAGGGAAAAAGGCGUCCAUCAUCAUCGCCACCGCGACCGCGACCGCCCCGCCUCCUCCUCAGUGGCCUCCGCACCACACACGCCACAAAGCUCUUUCUCCACCUCGGCUUCCAUUUACACGUAUCUCCUUCCUGCGCCAUGCCGCGUCCGUUCGGUGUUUGGGCUCCGGCCACGACGCUUGCCGAGUAUCGCGCACGCAUCCCGAACCCUUUCGCAUACAGCUUCAAGUGGGUCUACGCCAUGAAGAAGGAGGUCUUCUACCCACCAGAGGCGCUGGCGCACUUCAAGGACCCCCAGCAGUUUAAGGAUGCAGUUGACACCGUCAUCGCGAUGCGUGUGUCGGACAAGAUCUUCGGCGAGGGCCAGAAGCUCCCCCGCCACCCGGUCAUUCUCAUGGUGAUGGUGCUGGCAACGCACGGUUUCAUCAUUUUCAGCGGGCUAAAGUACUACUACGGAACGUAUAUGCCGGCAAACAACCCGACGUGGCGCAAGACGGUCAACAAGGAGUGGGAGGAGGCCAUCAACAACUCCCCGUGGGACCACAUGUCGCACGUGUGGCAAUACAGCGACGAAUACGCGGCCGCGCUCGGCGAUACGGCUGCUCCUGGCCAGCGCAAGUUCUACAUCCCCGCUUAAGCUGCAUUGCCACACGCCAGUGCUGACGCACACGCGUGCACUCACACGCAGCCAAAUACGCGCGUCCUUCGGUGCUUCUACGUGUGACGUACAUCCACGCAUCUUGAAGCCGGGUCUCUGCUUCCAUCACACUAAGGCCGUCCCCCCCCCAUCGUUCAGCUUGCAGUCGCUGUUUUCUCUCCGCGAUGCAGCCGGCAGGAGCGCUCUCUGGUAAGAUGAUGUGGGCCCGUUUGUAUACGCCACGAGGCAGUGCCGAGCCAUCGAUGGCCGAGGCUCUUCUCUCUUCCGUCCUCCUGUGCGUGGCCGGAGUCUGUGUACGGGUCAUCGGUGAAAGUGCGUGUGCAUUUCUGGGAGGGGGAUGGGAUGGGGGCGAAGAGCAUCAGGCUGAGAGCAGUGCGCUUCUUCCUCGCGUUUGCCUCCGCGCUGAUGCCUGCCGUGUGCACGUCCUUGCGCAUAUUUCUUGUUGCUCUUUUCCUAGUAGGGAUCUCUCUAUUUCUCAUGCGUGAUGGUCAUUGUUUACGAGGUGGUGUAUGACCCGCUGUAGCGACGCAUGUACUGACAGGCGCCCAUGGACACGGAACACCUUCUCUGACGAAUCUUGCCUACUAGUGCCCUUGUGCAUGUGCGCAUGUUGCUUGAGGAGGCUGCUUAUAGUUGUGUCCUUGUCUGUGCGUGCACUCACCUCGGCACGCCAUGCAGUAAGCCGCUGAGUUGUGUCUGUGUGUGCGUGUGUGUCGGCACCAAAGGGGAGGACACGUAUUAGUACAAUGCCUGAGAGUGUAACUGCGUCCGUCUAUCGGUAUAUAUGUGUGUGUGUGUGUCGUUGUUGCUGUUGUUGGGUGCUGUUCUCUGUCGGCGUGUAUGUGUGCGUAUACAUAUAUGCAUGCGCAUGUGUGUAUGUGUGUGCCUUUAAAAGGAAUUUUUUUUCUCGUAGUUCCCCUUUGUUUUAUAGGUUUCCUUUCUGCGACGUACUCUUCGCUCCCACCCGCCCACCUUUCUGUCUGUCUCGCGGUCUCAUGCUCCACCACACACACACACACACACACACACACAGCGAGAAACGCAGAAACACCGACAGAGGGAGAGUCAUAACAGGCAAAGCGGGCUUACAUGGGAUUUGCCUUGAUCCAAUGCCCCCCCCCCCCCCCAUCCUCCACUGUCUAUGUCUAUGACUCUCUCUAUGUCUGUUGUGUGUGUGUGUGUGUGUGCACGCCGGAUCCCUCGUAGUAGCCGUGAAGGGGUAGCGGCGGUGUGUCGCAAGAGAAACGAAACAGCACAAAUG